rnacentral:rRNA from 1 species
CCCUACGGGGUGCACCAGGAUUGAUACAUAUGAUGGGUGAAAUGACAGGCCUGGAAGAAGUGAAACCCAGAAAAAUCCUUGACAUAACCCCUUAUGUUGUUGCAAAAACAGAACGCUACAAAUCUGAAGAAGGCAAUCCGUUUGCGACGGGAAAAGGAUCAAAGUUAAAUGCAGGUCUCGACGCCAAAAUAGGCGUAACAAACAAUCUUACACUCGACCUUACUGUCAAUCCCGAUUUCGGACAGGUUGAGGCUGAUCCUUCGGUAGUAAAUCUCUCUGCCUUUGAAACAUUCUUUGAAGAAAAACGACCUUUUUUUAUUGAGGGUAACAACAUUACAAAUUUCGGGAUUGGAAUUGGCGGGGGAGC